ensembl:lncRNA
CUCUAAGAAAGAGUUGCACUGCAUAGACAAGAGCUGUUAUUUUAUGGAAUGAUUGUCUAAAUCUUUUAACCUAAUGUUCAAUUAAAGAUAUAACUUUUGUUUUUAGCUUCAGUGAAAUUGAUCAGUACAAACAAACAUAGUUUUUAGCAUAAAAAGACAAAAUGUUAUUUAAAUCACAAUACAUCUCAAUGAAUUUCUAUAUUUUUAUGAUUUCAGAUUAAAAGUGUUAACCAAUAUUCAACUAAUAAAACACCUUUCUGCUUUUGAAAAAAAAUGGCAUGGCAGGGGGAGUGAGGGCAUGGCAUGCCAUGCUUCUGGGGGAAAAAAUUACCCCCCAAAAGGGCGAAGUCAUUUAGAACCAACAUUCACAUAAAACUUAGGUGUGAUAAAGGUAAAAGCUGAAAAAUCUGACACUUGUAUUCAUAACAAAUCACUGGUUUUUUGAUGUGCCUUUCGAUAAUUAUUCCCACAUAUGGCUAACUGCAACCAGAGUCUCAUUUACUCUUAGUGUUUUGCAAUGAUUCUUUCGAAAAAAUAAAAGCAGUAAAAGUACUGAGUAAAACAGUGAAAGUAAAAAGAAAAGUAAAAAGAGUAAAAGUAAAAUAUUAUAGUGUGUAUUAUUAUAUUCUGUUUCCUCUGGUUUUGCAUUGUGUUGCUGGGAGGGAUUCGCUGCCCUACAGUUAAUGCCACUGUUGUAAGCACAUCUCAUAUGAUAAUAAAGAACAUGAGGAUCUUCCAUGAGUUGCCUGUUGUCACGGUAACAGAAUGUUUACACUUAUACAAACUCACAGAAAUUGCCUGGGCAACCAAAAUGUUUAUAUAGCUACAGAAUUUUGCCAUGCAAUAUUCAUAUUGGCCCCUGUUGAAGAAGGCUCUCACAACUCAUGGUCCUUUUCAUAACAGACCUCCAGCAUGGAUUUUCUCUGUCUACUUUACCCAGUAUUAUCCCUGAAGUACUUUACACCGUUGAUAUGUGUUGUUGGCUUAGUGAUUGCUGCAGCUAGCUCAAUUCUCAUCUGCACGAGACUCCAAGGCACCCAGCACCUUAUCCAAGGGAAACCUGAUGAACACGGUGAUCAGACCAAGGUGCCUGCUCCAGAGAGUGCUGACAAGCCUGCUGAGGACAUCUCUGGGGAAGCCUCUUUGGAUACCUCUGAAGAGCCUGCUCCAGGCAACAUCGAGGGGCCCGCUCUUGGCAUAUUUGAGGAACCCGCUUUGGGCAUCUUCGAGGAGCCAACUCUAGGUAUCUCUGAUGAGCCUGUUCCACGUAUCUGCGAAGACCCCACUCUAGGGAGCCCUGAGGAUCUCCAGACAGCUCCGAGGAGGCCGCUGCUCCCUUGACUGCGCCGAGGAGCCUCCGGAGUGCAAGGAGGAUGCUGCUUGAAGAUGUGUACUUCUUUGUCCUUUAGGUGUAGUUACAUUGUUUCUCUGUGUUCUUAUCCUUUUCAGCCACCCAAACCCCACUCCAAGAAGACUUCUAUGAACAUGCUGACCUGGUAAAAUAUUGUGAAUACUCUAAGCCUGUGUGAAAGUAUGUUACGUUGAAUUUCUUCAUUUUCUUCAUGGUUCUGAAGAUCCUCAAUUAGGCAGAUUUUGCCCAAAGAGACUAGUUCCGGCGCUGCAGAACCUGUUCUGGACUGUACUGUGGAACCUGGCUCCCUCUGCUCCCUACUGUGUUUUAGCGCCAACCUAAUGCCGCACCCCGAAUCGUGCCCCAUACUAGCCCCAGUAGUCGGCCCGCUGGUGAACUUCAGGGCCCAUACAUUUUCUCUCUACAAUUGUGACUGAGCUUUCCCUUUGUAAAAGACAAGAAGUUAAAUUCUUGCCCUGAAUUAAACAAAAAAUAAUAUCAAAACAUUUUAAAUUCAAGGCUGAUUAAUGUACUUGCUGUAAUUCAAAAUAUAUGACAAAACACUUGUUUUAAUGAGUAUAUUUGAAAGAGAAACACUGAUGCGCCAAUCUGCAGCCAGGUUGCACCCCAUUCCCCAGACUGGUGGAUCAUUAAGGGGAAUCAAGCAUCAGAUGCAGCCAGUCUGUUGGUUAAAAAAGACUAUAGAGAGAACUUGGAGGUGAGAGAAGUUUGCAGCUUUCAAUACCGGGUGUAAAGUUAGCGUUCUGUUAUAACGGGGACUUCCUCCUCCUGUGCCCUUAAGGUGGAGUUCCUUCCCCAAGAAUAUCAGGGAGUCUCCCAGUCUGGGCACCUUUAAAUCCAGGCUCAAGAUCCACAUGUUCACAUCGCUUUCUGAUAAUACAUUUAAAUGCUCCAUUUGUCCUUUCAUUUGUUUGACUAAUAUUUUAUCUUCAUAAAAUGUUGCUGCUUUUGUUUCAUUAUUUACAUUUA